AAUAUUGCGCAAUGGGGGAAACCCUGACGCAGCGACGCCGCGUGAGUGAUGAAGGCCUUCGGGUUGUAAAACUCUGUCCUCAGGGAAGAAACAAAUGACGGUACCUGAGGAGGAAGCCCCGGCUAACUACGUGCCAGCAGCCGCGGUAAUACGUAGGGUGCAAGCGUUAAUCGGAAUUACUGGGCGUAAAGCGUGCGCAGGCGGUUCGGCAAGAAGGAUGUGAAAUCCCAGGGCUUAACCUUGGAACUGCAUUCUUAACUGCCGGGCUAGAGUAUGUCAGAGGGGGGUAGAAUUCCGCGUGUAGCAGUGAAAUGCGUAGAGAUGCGGAGGAAUACCGAUGGCGAAGGCAGCCCCCUGGGAUAAUACUGACGCUCAUGCACGAAAGCGUGGGGAGCAAAC
rnacentral:rRNA from 1 species